rnacentral:rRNA from 1 species
GUGGGGAAUAUUGGUCAAUGGGCGCGAGCCUGAACCAGCCAAGUAGCGUGCAGGACGACGGCCCUAUGGGUUGUAAACUGCUUUUAUGCGGGGAUAAAGUGCGGCACGUGUGCCGUUUUGUAGGUACCGCAUGAAUAAGGACCGGCUAAUUCCGUGCCAGCAGCCGCGGUAAUACGGAAGGUCCGGGCGUUAUCCGGAUUUAUUGGGUUUAAAGGGAGCGCAGGCGGCCUUUUAAGCGUGACGUGAAAUGUAGGCGCUCAACGUCUGAAUUGCGUCGCGAACUGUUAGGCUUGAGUAGACGGAAUGUCGGCGGAAUUCGUGGUGUAGCGGUGAAAUGCUUAGAUAUCACGAAGAACUCCGAUUGCGAAGGCAGCUGACAGCAGUUUUACUGACGCUCAUGCUCGAAAGUGCGGGUAUCGAACAGG